CCUACGGGUGGCAGCAGUGGGGAAUAUUGGACAAUGGGGGCAACCCUGAUCCAGCCAUGCUGCGUGUGUGAAGAAGGCCCUCGGGUUGUAAAGCACUUUCAGUGAGGAAGAACGCCUGGUGGUUAAUACCCAUCAGGAAAGACAUCACUCACAGAAGAAGCACCGGCUAACUCCGUGCCAGCAGCCGCGGUAAUACGGAGGGUGCGAGCGUUAAUCGGAAUUACUGGGCGUAAAGCGCGCGUAGGUGGCUUGAUAAGCCGGUUGUGAAAGCCCCGGGCUCAACCUGGGAACGGCAUCCGGAACUGUCAAGCUAGAGUGCAGGAGAGGAAGGUAGAAUUCCCGGUGUAGCGGUGAAAUGCGUAGAGAUCGGGAGGAAUACCAGUGGCGAAGGCGGCCUUCUGGACUGACACUGACACUGAGGUGCGAAAGCGUGGGUAGCAAACAGGAUUAGAUACCCGAGUAGUC
rnacentral:rRNA from 1 species